UUCGCAAUGCCCGAAAGGGUGACGAAGCGACGCCGCGUGUGGGAAGAAGGCCUUCGGGUUGUAAACCACUGUCGGGAGUUAAGAAAUGCAAGGGUAUGAAUAGUGUCUUUGCUUGACUAAGGCUCCGGAGGAAGCCACGGCUAACUCUGUGCCAGCAGCCGCGGUAAUACAGAGGCGGCAAGCGUUGUUCGGAAUUAUUGGGCGUAAAGAGCACGUAGGCGGCUAUGUAAGUCGGUUGUGAAAGCCUUCCGCUCAACGGGAGAACAGCAUCCGAUACUGCAUGGCUUGAGUGCGGGAGGGGAGAGUGGAACUUCUGGUGGAGCGGUGAAAUGCGUAGAUAUCAGAAGGAACGCCGGCGGCGAAAGCGGCUCUCUGGCCCAUAACUGACGCUGAGUGUGCGAAAGCUAGGGGAGCAAACGGGAUUAGAUACCCCGGUAGUCCUAGCCGUAAACGAUGGGCACUAAGUAGAGGGGUUUU
rnacentral:rRNA from 1 species